AUUGAACGCUGGCGGAAUGCUUUACACAUGCAAGUCGAACGGUAGAGGGGGCAACCCCUUGAGAGUGGCGAACGGGUGAGUAAUAUAUCGGAACGUGCCCAGUCGUGGGGGAGUAACGUAGCGAAAGUUACGCUAAUACCGCAUACGAUCUAAGGAUGAAAGCGGGGGAUCGCAAGACCUCGCGCGAUUGGAGCGGCCGAUAUCAGAUUAGGUAGUUGGUGAGGUAAAGGCUCACCAAGCCAACGAUCUGUAGCUGGUCUGAGAGGACGACCAGCCACACUGGAACUGAGACACGGUCCAGACUCCUACGGGAGGCAGCAGUGGGGAAUUUUGGACAAUGGACGCAAGUCUGAUCCAGCAAUGCCGCGUGCAGGAAGAAA
rnacentral:rRNA from 1 species